UACGUAGGGGGCAAGCGUUGUCCGGAAUCAUUGGGCGUAAAGAGCGUGUAGGCGGCCCGAUAAGUCCGCUGUGAAAGUCCAGGGCUCAACCCUGGAAUGCCGGUGGAUACUGUCGGGCUCGAAUCCGGAAGAGGUGAGUGGAAUUCCAAGUGUAGAGGUGAAAUUCGUAGAUAUUUGGAGGAAUACCGGCGGCGAAGGCGGCCUUCUGGACCGUUCCUGACACUGAGACGCGAAAGCGUGGGGAGCAAACAGG
rnacentral:rRNA from 1 species